AACGUACGCUGGCGGCACGCCUAACACAUGCAAGUCGAACGAAGUAGCAAUACUUAGUGGCAGACGGGUGAGUAACAUGUAGGUAUCUGCCCUUUGGCCUGGAAUAACACGAGGAAACUUGUGCUAAUACCGGAUAAGUCUUUACGGAGAAAGCUUUAUGCACCAUUGGAUGAGCCUGCACUUGAUUAGUUUGUUGGUGGGGUAAUGGCCUACCAAGACUGUGAUCAAUAGCUGAUUUGAGAGGAUGAUCAGCCACAUUGGGACUGAGACACGGCCCAAACUCCUACGGGAGGCAGCAGUGGGGAAUCUUGCACAAUGGAGGAAACUCUGAUGCAGCGACGCCGCGUGAGUGAAGAAGGCCUUUGGGUUGUAAAGCUCUUUCGUCGGGGAAGAAAAUGACUGUACCCGAAUAAGAAGGUCCGGCUAACUUCGUGCCAGCAGCCGCGGUAAUACGAAGGGACCUAGCGUAGUUCGGAAUUACUGGGCUUAAAGAGUUCGUAGGUGGUUGAAAAAGUUAGUGGUGAAAUCCCAGAGCUUAACUCUGGAACUGCCAUUAAAACUUUUCAGCUAGAGUAUGAUAGAGGAAAGCAGAAUUUCUAGUGUAGAGGUGAAAUUCGUAGAUAUUAGAAAGAAUACCAAUUGCGAAGGCAGCUUUCUGGAUCAUUACUGACACUGAGGAACGAAAGCAUGGGUAGCGAAGAGGAUUAGAUACCCUCGUAGUCCAUGCCGUAAACGAUGUGUGUUAGACGUUGGAAAUUUAUUUUCAGUGUCGCAGGGAAACCGAUAGACACACCGCCUGGGGAGUACGACCGCAAGGUUAAAACUCAAAUGAAUUGACGGGGACCCGCACAAGUAGUGGAGCAUGUGGUUUAAUUCGAAGAUACGCGCAGAACCUUACCAACACUUGACAUGUUCGUCGCGACUCUAAGAGAUUAGAGUUUUCGGUUCGGCCGGACGAAACACAGGUGCUGCAUGGCUGUCGUCAGCUCGUGUCGUGAGAUGUUGGGUUAAGUCCCGCAACGAGCGCAACCCUCACUUUUAGUUGCCAUCAUUAAGUUGGGCACUCUGAAAGAACUGCCAGUGAUAAGCUGGAGGAAGGUGGGGAUGACGUCAAGUCCUCAUGGCCCUUACGUGUUGGGCUACACACGUGCUACAAUGGUAUCUACAACAGGAAGCAAAACUGCGAAGUUAAGCAAAUCCCUAAAAGAUACCUCAGUUCGGAUUGCACUCUGCAACUCGAGUGCAUGAAGCUGGAAUUACUAGUAAUCGUGGAUCAGCGUGCCACGGUGAAUGCGUUCCCGGGUCU
rnacentral:rRNA from 1 species